UGGGGAAUAUUGCACAAUGGGCGGAAGCCUGAUGCAGCGACGCCGCGUGAGGGAUGACGGCCUUCGGGUUGUAAACCUCUUUCAGCAGGGACGAAGUGGUUGGGUUUUCUCAGUCGUGACGGUACCUGCAGAAGAAGCGCCGGCCAACUACGUGCCAGCAGCCGCGGUAAGACGUAGGGCGCGAGCGUUGUCCGGAUUUAUUGGGCGUAAAGAGCUCGUAGGCGGCUUGUCGCGUCGACCGUGAAAACUUGGGGCUCAACUCCAAGCCUGCGGUCGAUACGGGCAGGCUAGAGUUCGGUAGGGGAGACUGGAAUUCCUGGUGUAGCGGUGAAAUGCGCAGAUAUCAGGAGGAACACCGGUGGCGAAGGCGGGUCUCUGGGCCGAUACUGACGCUGAGGAGCGAAAGCGUGGGGAGCGAACAG
rnacentral:rRNA from 1 species